CAUUCCGUUUUUUUCUUCCAUUUUUAUUGCAUAGUUACUUUUUUAACCUUUUGUUUUCUUCCUUUGUAUCCGUUUAUAUAAGGAUGUUUUGGUCUUUAGUGAGAUUGUGUCAUUCAAAAGAAUUUCAGAUCACACAAAUCUUUCAUUCUCAUCUUCGUAUUCCUCCCAAAAGAAGAAAAAUAUCACUCCGAUUGGCUUGAAGAUCGUGCUAACGAACCCAGCUCUCUGCCAAAGCCUCAAGAUCCACUCUGUCGGUCUCUCCCGAUUCAACCCAGACAGCGCCGUAGACGAUGGUUCCCCAUGAUGAUCAGGCUUCUUAUGCCGAGCCACGAGUUUUCUCGUGCACCUAUUGCAAAAGAAAAUUCUAUAGUUCGCAAGUACUAGGAGGCCACCAAAAUGCCCACAAAAGAGAGGAUCUAGCAAAAAGAGGACAAAAGAUAGCAGCACACAUAUUGGCCUCCGCAGAAGCUUUUGGGCACUCCCUUCACCAGCACCAGCACCAGCACUACCCAAGCAUGGCUUCUCUUCCUCUUCAUGGUGCUAAUUACAAUAACAGAUCGCUCGGAGUUCAGACGUAUUCUAUGAUCCAAAAGCCUUCUCACAAAUCAUCUUCGGUUGGGUUCUUUGUCGGAUGCUACUUUAUCAGUACUCCUUGGAACUGAUGUGUGCCGAACAAAAAGAAAUUAUUAAAAAAAUAGAAAUAAGUUGCUCGAUGGAUAUAUAGAAAUUAUUAAAAAAAUAGAAAUAAGUUGCUCGAUGGAUAUAUAAAAUUACUAAUUUUGCUCUUUAA